AUUGAACGCUGGCGGCAGGCCUAAAACAUGCAAGUCGAACGAGUGGCGGACGGGUGAGUAAUAUCUGGGAAACUGCCCGAUGGAGGGGGAUAACUACUGGAAACGGUAGCUAAUCCCGCAUACCAUCGGAUGUGCCCAGAUGGGAUUGGCUAGUAGGUGGGGUAAUGGCUCACCUAGGCUACGAUCCCUAGCUGGUCUGAGAGGAGUACCAGCCAAACUGGAACUGAGACACGGUCCAGACUCCUACGGGAGGCAGCAGUGGGGAAUAUUGCACAAUGGGCGCAAGCCUGAUGCAGCCAUGCCGCGUGUAUGAAGAAGGCCUUCGGGUUGUAAAGUACUUUCAGCGAGGAGGCGUUACUCGCAGAAGAAGCACCGGCUAACUCCGUGCCAGCAGCCGCGGUAAUAC
rnacentral:rRNA from 1 species